rnacentral:tRNA from 1 species
GCGCGAGUGGCGGAACUGGCAGACGCGCAGGAUUUAGGUUCCUGUGCCUUCGGGUGUGGGGGUUCGAGUCCCCCCUCGCGCA